rnacentral:rRNA from 1 species
UACGAACUGUGCGAACGUUAUUCGGAAUCACUGGGCUUAAAGGGUGCGUAGGCGGCGGCUCAAGUCAGGUGUGAAAUCCCCCGGCUCAACCGGGGAAUAGCGCUUGAAACUGGGUCGCUCGAGUGAGGCAGGGGUGCAUGGAACUUCCGGUGGAGCGGUGAAAUGUGUAGAUAUCGGAAGGAACGCCGGCGGCGAAAGCGGUGCACUGGGCCUUGUCUGACGAUGAGGCACGAAAGCUAGGGGAGUGAACGGG